rnacentral:misc_RNA from 1 species
ACCUGAUUCAAUUGACAUGGCCGCCUUGGACAUUUAUAGAGACAGAGAGAGGGGAGUUCCGCGGUACAAUGAGUUCAGAAGGAAUUUGCUGAUGGUACCAAUUAGCAAGUGGGAGGAUUUAACUAACGACGAAGAAGUAAUUGAGGCUUUACAAGAAGUAUAUGGCGAUGAUAUUGAGAAGCUAGAUCUCCAAAUUGGUUUGCACGCGGAGAAGAAAAUUAAAGGCUUUGCCAUUAGUGAGACUGCCUUUUUUAUAUUUCUGCUCAUUGCUUCAAGGAGGUUAGAGGCUGAUCGAUUCUUCACAACUGAUUUCAAUUCGCGAACCUACACAGAGAAAGGCUUUGAAUGGGUAAACAAGACAGAGACAUUGAAAGAUGUCAUCGAUCGAUACUUCCCUGAAAUGACAGAGAAAUACAUGAGAUGCACAAGUGCAUUCUCAGUGUGGAGUUCAGAUCCAGAUCCUAAACACUACUUACCUCUUUAUCUGAGACCAGCAACCUAAUGGUAGUACUAUAUUUGGUGAUCAACUUUGUAUGGGGUGAUUAUGUUAAAACAAUGGUAAGUUUGCAAGGAAAAUACAAACAACCCUAGUUUACGGUCAGAUGAAUAAACCUUGUAUGAGAGGGGGCAUCACGCUACAAAACUACAUAUCAUAAACUCCACCAUAGUUAACGCAUUCAAGCCACCUCUCAUACA